AAGAAAAUUCCAUGCUGGUAAAGAAAUGUUCAGAUUUUUUUUUUUUCAAUUAUAGCUGAUGCUUUUUCUUCUUUAUACUCUUCUGAAAUGUCCCUGUUUUCUGUAAUGAGCAUAUAUUGCUUCUACAGUAAGGGAAAAAGUGAUCUAGUCCUCAGAACUCCAUUCAAAAACCUCUUGGGUUAAAUGAGCUUAAAUCCUUGUGACAAAUCUGCUAGAAAAACCUUUUCAGCCUUUGAGAUUCUUAUUGACCAGGAGCUAGAAGACACCUCCCAGGAGUAAGAGAUUGGAUGUCUCUCUCAGGACAGUCUUUUGCUCCCAGUGCUCUGGAGUCUUGGAGAGGGAGUUUUCAUUUGCUGGUCUCAGCUCUCCCUGGCUGCUUUGAGUUUGGAAAUGCAUAUUCUUCAGUCCCUUGGGGAAAUUUACUUGAAUUAUUCAUUUAAUUAUUCCUCACUUCUAAAACAAACACACAUGUACCCCACCUGUGUUUUCUCUCUUUCUGGAACUUUCAUUAGGAAAACGUCGAGCUUCCUGAACUGAUGCCAUCAUUUUGCAACCUGUCCUCUCCUCCUCUGCCGUCCUCUUUCUCAGCAUUUUGCUUUCUGGGAGAUCUUGCUGACAAUCCUUUCAUUGAGUUUUUAAAUUCCUGCUUUUAUAAUUUUAAUUUCCAAGAACCCUUUUUUAUUCUUUCAAUGUCCAUUUUAAAAAUAGCAACUGAGUCUUAUUUCACAGAAGUAAUGUCCUCUCUGAUCUAAGUCAUACACUCUGCACAGGGGCAGUAUUGUCUCCCAAAGGAGUAAAAAUCAGUGUUGGUUAAAAAUGUUAGAUAUUGCAACAAUUUGUGUCUCUCCAAAAUGCAAUACUUUUUAUAUUGUUCAUGGAAUUCUCAAGGCAAGAAUACUGAAGUGGUUUGCCAUUCCCUUCUCCAGUGAACCACAUUCUGUCAGACCUCUCCACCAAGACCCGUCUAUCUUAGGUGGCCCCACACAGCAUGACUCAUAGUUUCAUUGAGUUAGACAAGGCUGUGGUCCAUGUGAUCAGACUGGUUAGUUUUCUGUGAUUAUUGUUUUCUCAACCCUAUUUGACAAAAUCAUAUUCUUCAAUAUUUAAUUUUUCAUUGGGAAAAAAUAAGUUUUGAUUCUAAUUUUUCUCCUUAGAGGUGAGGUUUUCCAUCUCCCUGUAUAGGCUCUGUAUUAGUCUGGAUUCUCUGGAGAAAGCGAACCAAUAUAUAUAAUAUAUAUUGUAUGUAUAAUAAUAUAUAUAUUUAUAAUUAUAUAAAUAUAUAAUAUUUAUUUGAUCAGUGUUUUAUUAUAAUUUUGUUAUUUGAUUUUAUCCACACAGUUAGAUGUUCUUUGUCUUCUCAAACAAGUGAAGACAUUUAACAGACAGACAAAUGGAUGGAUUUGGGGGGUUUAUUAAGGAUAAUAUAAACUGUUAGCAAAACAAAUAAGUGUCUGCCAUUGAAGACGGAAAAACAGGAGGGGAAUAGAGGAAUUCACGACAAAGCAAAGAGAUGGGCAAUUUAAAAAUAAAUGAGAGAGAGAGGUUGGUUUACUGUAAGGAGUUGGCUUACACAGUUAUGGAGGCUGGGAAGUCCAGGAUCUACAGUUUUCAAGCUGGGGGCCUCGGGGAGCAGACAGGAUAAUUUCAGUCUGCGUCUGACAGCCUGAGAAGCAAGACUGUUGAUGUUUAAGUUCAAGUCUGAGUCUGAAAGCGGGAGAAGACCAAUGACCCAGAUACAGACAGGCAAAGAAUUCUUUCUUACUCAGGCUUUCAUUCUGCGCAGGCCCUCAGCAGAUUGGGUGAGGCCUGCCCACACGGGGAGGGCAAUCUGCUCGACUCAGCCUACUGAUUCAAACGUUGGCCUCAUCCAGAAACACCCUCACAGACACACUCAGAAAUAAUAUCUAACCUAUCUGGAUGUUCAGAGGCCCAGUCAUCACCCUCCAUUUACUUUUUUUUUUCCUUUCCUGUUUUGGUCUCUACCUUUAGAGGCUUUCCUCAGAUUUGUGGUGAUCCUUGGUUUUCCAUUCGUAUUUUAAAACAGGGAGCUAAAAACCUGCUGAGAACUUUGAGCAUCAGGGGGAGUUGACGAUGUGGGCUUCUCUGUAUGGCAAGCCACCUGUUGCCUUAUGUAACCCACGUUUUUGUAUCUUUAGGUCUCUCCAGAAAGUAUCUUCCAGUAUGUGCCUAGAAGAUACCGUCCUAGCUACCCGUGGUCUGGGAGCCAAGCCAGUGAGGAGUGGGGCGGAUCUCAGCCCUCAGUCCCCUGUGAGAAUCUCUAGCAUCGUCCUGUCUUCAGGCCGGUGCCCCAUCCCCACGGCUGCUGCUGUGCCUUUAUCCAGAGACUUGUGUUUUCAGCCGUUUAGUCUUGUUGGGGGCUUGGGGCCGUGCAGUGGUCUGGCUGUGUGAACAUGGGGAAGGGUUGGGGUUAGAGACACUCUCUAGUGACUAUCACCCAGUCCUUCUGUUUUCAGUCCCGUCUGCACCCACACUUCUGGAAACAGCUGGUACCACCAAGUACAGGCCACAGAGCCUGUGGGAGUCCUCAGCGCAGGCCGAGCUGCUCCUUGCCUUUCCUCACCCUGGGCCUCAGAUUCAGCGUGUCAUCUACGAGUCAGCGGUUACUCAUCCUUCAGUGUUCAAGCCCCGCCACGUUUUGUCGUCUCUGUGUGGUCUUGUGCGGUACAGGGUCCUUUUGCCGUCAUUUAGACGGGUUUCCAGGAGGAGCUGGAGGAAGUGCCUGUGUGUAGUCUGCACGUGGGGACUGACUGACUCGUGGGCUGGGAAGGAAAAGGUAGCACAUGGGUCGGUGGACGGGUUGAGCAGGAGGCAGAUGGCAUGCUGGCCGAGGGUGAAGGGCCUGGCAGACCUGGAGGGGCAGAGACUAGGCGGGGGAGCUGAACCUCGUGGCGCAGCCUUAGAACUUAGGAGAGCUCCAUUCAAGGUACUGCCUCGGCAGAGUCCAAAGGUGUUGCUGAAUCAGGAUCAGAAAGCGGCUUCAAGCCGUAUCCAAGAGAGUGCAUCAAGGACCUUAGAAAUAGCUGUAAUCUUAUUCAAUUAACUUCAUUUGUAGAAUUCUUCCUGAGAAGAGAAAGUAUAGAAUAUACAUAUAAUACAUAUACUUUCCUAAUAAAAGUUACUAUAUAUACAUAGUAUUACUGUAUAUACGGUAUAUAUAAUAUACAGGCUAUUAUAUAUAGGCUUAUUUCACUUAGUAUAAUGUCCUCAAGCUUCAUCCAUGUUGUAGCAUGUGACAGAACUUCCUUCCUACUUAAGGAAAUAAAAUAAAAUUCCAUUUUAUGUAUAUACCACACUUUGUUCAUCUAUCUAUUGUUAUUCUGGUUCAGUCACUAAGUCAUGUCCGACUCUUUGUGACCUCAUAGACUGCAGCCUGGGUGUAGACUGUUUCUAAAAUUUAUAAUCUCUAAUAUUAUAAAAAUGCUGCUAAUGAAUGUCUUUGUGGAAAAAGUCUCUAUAUAUUAUUUAUAUAAUAUAUAUACUUCCUCUUGCUUUUGCAGAUGCCGUUGUGCCGAAGCACAGCCGCCCCCAAGGACAUAUUGUUUGCGUCUUUUUCCUGCGGUAACAGCAGAGUCUAUCGCCAACAAAGCCUAAAAUAUCUACUAUCUGGUCCUUUAAGAAACAGUUUGCUGACUUCUGAUCUGAAUGACUAGUAGAAGAAUGGUUAAGCCAGUUAAGGGGCAUCACCCCAGUUUACCAGCUAUUUUUUAACUGGUAAAGAAAAAAACCCCAAAUGUACUAUGUUAACCAUUUUUAAGUGUACAGUUCAAUAGUGUUACCCAUACUCACAUUGUUGUGAAAUAGAGCUUCAUCUUGCAAAACCGAAACUCUCUACCCAUUAAAUAUCAUUGCCCUUUCCCCAGCCUUGUAUCCUGCUCUCUGUUGCUAUGAAUUUGAAUACUUUAGAUACCUCAGAUGAGUGGAACCAUACAAGUUUUAUCUCUUUGUGCCUGCCUUAUCUCACUUAGCGUAAUGCCCUCAAGCUUCAUCCAUGUUGUAGCAUGCGACAGAACUUCCUUCCCACUUAAGGAAGGAAAUAAAAUUAGAAUUCCGUCUUAUGUAUAUACCGUACUUUGUUCAUCAGUCAACAGGUAUUUGGGCUGCUUCUGCCUUUGGUUGUUGUGAGUAAUGCUGUUGUGAACAUGGUGUACAAAUAUUUCUGUGAGACCCUGCUUUUAAUUCUUUGGCUAUAAAUUCAGAAGUAGAAUGGCUGGAUCAUACGGUAGUUCUAUUUUUAAGUUUCUGAG
ensembl:lncRNA